rnacentral:snRNA from 1 species
GUGCUUGCUUCAGCAGCACAUAUACAAAAAUUGGAACGAUUCAGAGAAGAUUAGCAUGGCCCCUGUGCAAGGAUGACAUGCAAAUUCGUGAAGCAUUCCAUAUUUUU